GCUUACGGCCAUACCAGCCUGGGUACGCCUGAUCUCGUCUGAUCUCGGAAGCUAAGCAGGGUCGGGCCUGGUUAGUACUUGGAUGGGAGACCGCCUGGGAAUACCAGGUGCUGUAAGGA
rnacentral:rRNA from 1 species